GAUGAAGAACGCAGCGAAAUGCGAUAAGUAAUGUGAAUUGCAGAAUUCAGUGAAUCAUCGAAUCUUUGAACGCACAUUGCGACCGCCAGUAUUCUGGCGGGCAUGCCUGUUCGAGCGUCAUUUCAACCCUCAAGCACAGCUUGGUGUUGGGACUCGCGUUAAUUCGCGUUCCCCAAAUUGAUUGGCGGUCACGUCGAGCUUCCAUAGCGUAGUAGUAAAACCCUCGUUACUGGUAAUCGUCGCGGCCACGCCGUUAAACCCCAACUUCUGAAUGUUGACCUCGGAUCAGGUAGGAAUACCCGCUGAACUUAAGCAUAUCAAUAAGCGGAGGA
rnacentral:misc_RNA from 1 species